rnacentral:rRNA from 1 species
GAUGAACGCUGGCGGCGUGCUUAACACAUGCAAGUCGAACGGAAAGGCUCCUGCUUGCAGGGGUACCCGAGUGGCGAACGGGUGAGUAACACGUGGGUGAUCUGCCCUGCACUUCGGGAUAAGCCUGGGAAACUGGGUCUAAUACCGGAUAGGACCACAUUUUGGAUGGUGUGGUGGAAAGUUUUUCGGUGUGGGAUGAGCUCGCGGCCUAUCAGCUUGUUGGUGGGGUAAUGGCCUACCAAGGCGUCGACGGGUAGCCGGCCUGAGAGGGUGUACGGCCACAUUGGGACUGAGAUACGGCCCAGACUCCUACGGGAGGCAGCAGUGGGGAAUAUUGCACAAUGGGCGCAAGCCUGAUGCAGCGACGCCGCGUGGGGGAUGACGGCCUUCGGGUUGUAAACUCCUUUCGCUAGGGACGAAGCGCAAGUGACGGUACCUGGAGAAGAAGCACCGGCUAACUACGUG